UUGAAAAAACACCUUAUCCCCAGAAAAAAGGAGGUGUGACAACAGUGAUCAUGAGGAACAACAAGAAGAGAGAACUACUCUGACUGCUAAUCAGACAGAUGAAGCCAUACCUACUGAACCUGUUCCUUUGGGUCACUCCUUGGGUGAAUCUUCUCUGGGUAUACAGAUCAUGCCAUGGAAACAUCAAAGUUCACAUCCUCUUGAGAACAUCAUCUCUGAUCCAAAUACAGGAGUGCAAACCAGGUCAUCUCUGAGAAAUCUAUGUGCACUCACAGCAUUUCUCUCAUAGGUUGAACCUAAGACCAUCAAGGAAGUUAUAAAGGAUCCAGAUUGGAUUAUAGCCAUGCAAGAGGAGCUAAAUCAGUUUUAAAGAAGCAAGGUCUGGCACUUGGUACAAAUACCCAAGAACAGAAUUGUCAUAGGUACAAGAUGGGUGUUCAGAAACAAGGUGGAUAAACAAGAAAAUAUCACAAGGAACAAGGCCAAACUGGUGGUUCAGGGAUACAAUCAAGAGGAGGGCAUUGACUAUGAUGAGACUUUUGCACCUGUAGCUAGAAUGGAAGCUAUAAGAAUGUUGAUAGCUUUUGCUGCACACAUGGAGUUCACUUUGUAUCAGAUGGAUGUAAAGAGUGCCUUCUUGAAUGGUUAUAUAAAUAGAAAGUAUUUGUCAAACAACCUCAUGGGUUUGAAAGUGAAGAAUUUCCUAACUAUGUGUUCAAGUUAGAUAAAGCCAUGUAUGAACUGAAACAGGCUCCAAGAGCUUGGUAUGAAAGACUCAAAAUUCCUUUUAACCAACAAUUUUGUAAGAGGAAAGGUGGACAACACUCUAUUUCUAAAGAGCAAAGGAAAGAAUAUUCUGAUUGUGCAAGUGUAUGUGGAUGAUAUUAUCUUUGGGGCUACUAAUGAAGCAAUGUGCAAGGAAUUUGCUGAGAUGAUGGGAAAUGACUUGAAAUGAGCAUGAUGGGUGAACUGAACUUCUUCUUGGGCUACAAAUCAAGAAAACACCUACUGGAACCAUGAUACAUCAACAGAAAUACAUCAAAGAACCACUGAAGAAAUUCAACAUGGACUCCUCCAAGUCAAUUGACACUCCCAUUGCCAUUACAACAAAACUGGACUUUGAUGAAGAAGGGAAAAAUGUUGAACAUAAACUAUAUAGAGGAAUGAUUGGGACAUUAUUGUACUCAUAACAAGCAGGCCUGAUAUUAUAUUCAGUGUGAGACUGCAUGCAGAUUUCUAGCAAAUCCCAAGGAAUCUCACCUGAAGGCUGUCAAGAGGAUACUAAGAUAUCUCAAGGGGGGCCCUGACCUAUGCCUAUAGUAUCCUAUAGGGUAUAGCUUUGAUCUAUUUGGUUAUGAUAAUGCUGACAAUGCAAGCUUUCAUGUUGACAGGGAAAGCACUUCAUGGACAGCUCAUUUUCUAGGUUCGUAUCUGGUGUCUUAGGGAGAAAAGAAGCAAAACUCAGUGGCUUUAUCUACAGUUGAGGAUGAAUAUGUGGCAGCAGCAUCCUGCUGUGCUCAGUUGCUAUGGAUAAGACAGUAGCUAAGGAACUAUGUGCAGAAAAAAGUAAGGAGUUACUAAGGAGUUGGUUCUUCGACUCAGGGGGGAGAUAAGGUUGGGGGCAGUGAAUAUGUCUGUUUAUGGUGAAUAAGCAUGUCUUACUAUGAUUACCCGGUUCCGGUGUGGACAAAGUUUGUCAACAUUAAAAAGGGGGAAUUUGUUGAGUAUUGAGAUUUUGAUGAUUAACAAAGUUUGUUAAGAUUCAAUGUUCGAGAACCAGGUCCUUAAUGAAGUUGCUUCACUGUUUUAAGAACCAGGUCCUCAAGGCAAAGGAUCAGCUCCUCUGAUUGAUGAUUGUACAUCUGUGCAAAAUAGUAACUUAUCUCAAAGUUACUCAGGUCCGUGUUUGGUGGAAGAAGGCCGCUACAUGUGAUAAGGGUUGUUGCCCAAGAAGAUACGAAUAAUUCAGUAAGAGACAAGAGUCACAAAACUUGUGGAGUCCUUGGAACAGUAGGAGUCCUAUCAAACGAGAAGUUGACUAUGCAUAGGACUCCUAGAAGAUCUCAAAGUUCAUUCAUUAAAAUACUAUCUAUUUUGGACUUCUCAAUUCAUCCUUUUACACAUCAACUGAAGAAUUAUAUUUUGUUCACUCUAGUCGAGUACCAGUAGUUUAUUCUUCUUGAGUCAGUCUAGUGAAUGUGUUCUAGGAAAUCGAGCUGUAAUCAAGUGUCACAAGUAAUUACUGAGUUGGAGUGAGUGUUUCCUUUACAAGUUAGAGUAACUUGUAAAUCAAGUAGUCGUAGUAGCAGUACUUGAGAGUAUUGAAUUACAGUCUUAUAAUUGAUAUAUUUUGGCUCAUUGUUCUA